AUCACGCUGGGAACCGCAGACCAGAGCUGUUCCUAUUCGGCCAUCUUGAUCCUACUUCUGAAUGUGAGAUAUUUUUGUAGUAAUUGAAAUUGAGCAGUUAUUAUAGAACUAGUAAUGUCUUGAGUCUUUCAUUCCCUUCAAGUGUGUAACCAAAAAUUAUAAUAUUCUAGCAUGCAGCCUGAUUGUAAAGGAAUGGAAAAGUCCUAUCCAAAGGUUUCAUCCAUCUCUGAAUAUUUAUGAUGAGGGACACUUUGGUUUCAUAUGAGCCAAGGAGCCCCAGCCAUAAACAGAACUCCUGAGAACAACCUUGCAUUGGUCACAAGAAUAAUCUUAUGAUGUCAGGAUCAUGCCAAUUUUACACGAGGAGCAGUGGCACAGGAAGAUAAAGACCCCAUGAUGAGGAGUGGGGGUUGAUGGAGAGACAUAUUCAAGAGAUUUAUAUUCAAAGAAGCAACCAAGAUUCAGAAAGAUGGGG